CCUACGGGAGGCAGCAGUGGGGAAUAUUGGGCAAUGGAGGCAACUCUGACCCAGCAACGCCGCGUGAAUGAUGAAGGUCUUCGGAUUGUAAAGUUCUUUUCUAAGGGAAGAAGAAAGUGACGGUACCUUAGGAAUAAGCCUCGGCUAACUACGUGCCAGCAGCCGCGGUAAUACGUAGGAGGCAAGCGUUAUCCGGAAUGACUGGGCGUAAAGGGUGCGUAGGUGGUUUGACAAGUUAGUAGCGCAACUCCGGGGCUCAACUUCGGAACUACUACUAAAACUGUUGGACUUGAGUGCAGGAGAGGGGAGCAGAAUUCCAGGGGGAGCGGUGGAAUGCGUAGAGAUUAGGAGGAACACCAGUGGCGAAGGCGGAUGCCUAGACAAAAACUGAAACUGAGGAACGAAAGCGUGGGGAGCAAACAGGAUUAGAUACCCCUGUAGUC
rnacentral:rRNA from 1 species